UAGGGACGGCAGGUAGACUAGUGGUUAGAGGGGAGGGGCGGCAGGUCACCUAGUGGUUAGAGUGGAGGGACGGCAGGUCACCUAGUGGUUAGAGUGGAGGGACGGCAGGUAGACUAGUGGUUAGAGGGGAGGGGCGGCAGGUCACCUAGUGGUUAGAGUGGAGGGACGGCAGGUCACCUAGUGGUUAGAGUGGAGGGACGGCAGGUAGACUAGUGGUUAGAGUGGAGGGACGGCAGGUAGACUAGUGGUUAGAGUGGAGGGGCGGCAGGUCACCUAGUGGUUAGAGUGGAGGGACGGCAGGUAGACUAGUGGUUAGAGUGGAGGGACGGCAGGUAGACUAGUGGUUAGAGUGGAGGGGCGGCAGGUCACCUAGUGGUUAGAGUGGAGGGACGGCAGGUAGACUAGUGGUUAGAGUGUAGGGGCGGCAGGUCACCUAGUGGUUAGAGUGGAGGGACGGCAGGUUAUAGUGGGAUUCGGCCCCAGUGUGACAGUAGAUAGGGAGUAGGGGCUAAGGGUUAUAGUGGGAUUCGGCCCCAGUCUGACAGUAGAUAGGGAGUAGGGGCUAAGGGUUAUAGUGGGAUUCGGCCCCAGUCUGACAGUAGAUAGGGAGUAGGGGCUAAGGGUUAUAGUGGGAUUCGGCCCCAGUCUGACAGUAGAUAGGGGGUAGGGGCUAAGGGUUAUAGUGGGAUUCGGCCCCAGUCUGACAGUAGAUAGGGAGUAGGGGCUAAGGGUUAUAGUGGGAUUCGGCCCCAGUCUGACAGUAGAUAGGGAGUAGGGGCUAAGGGUUAUAGUGGGAUUCGGCCCCAGUCUGACAGUAGAUAGGGAGUAGGGGCUAAGGGUUAUAGU